rnacentral:rRNA from 1 species
AUACGGGGGGUGCAAGCGUUAAUCGGAAUUACUGGGCGUAAAGCGCGCGUAGGCGGUUUGCUCAGUCGGAUGUGAAAGCCCAGGGCUCAACCUUGGAACUGCAUACGAUACUAGCAAACUAGAGUGUGAGAGGGGAUAGUGGAAUUUCCGGUGUAGCGGUGAGAUGCGUAGAUAUCGGAAGGAACAUCAGUGGCGAAGGCGACUGUCUGGCUCAACACUGACGCUGAGGUGCGAAAGCGUGGGUAGCAAACAGGAUUAGAAACCCUGGUAGUCC